rnacentral:pre_miRNA from 1 species
GUAUUGCUUGCGCCACCACUGGGAACUUCUCACUCUUUAGCGCCCUUGACGAGAGACUUCAGAAAGAGGAAUUCAAUAGGACAAGGAUCGCGUAAGCCAAGACGGACAGCAAAUUUUAUGAUCACCAUGCUGUUCCAUCUUGGCUUACUGUGAUCGUUGUCCAUGGCAUCCAACAAAUGGUUAGCGAAGGGUGGUUGUGGAGAUCAGGAGUGGAUUCCAUUGGUGUGUCGUAAAAC